ACCACACCCUACCCUAUAGAGAGAGGGAAUUCUAGAGAGAGAAAAUGAAUUCUAGAUCUUGUUAGUUGAUUCCGGUCAGAUCUUGCUAGCUAGUUCUAGUUGCUACUUGCUAGAUUUUGUGAGUUCAUCAUCGAUUUCGACGAUUCUGGUCGUACCAAAGCCUUCGAUGUCACUGGCCUAAUGGUGUCGUAGUCCAAGGUAGCUCCCGCGGC
rnacentral:lncRNA from 1 species